CACCCCGACUUCGGAAGGGGUGUAUUUAUUAGAUAAAAAACCAAUGCCCUUCGGGGCUCCUUGGUGAUUCAUAAUAACUUAACGAAUCGCAUAGCCUUGUGCUGGCGAUGGUUCAUUCAAAUUUCUGCCCUAUCAACUUUCGAUUGUAUGGUAUUGGCUUACAAUGGUUUCAACGGGUAACGGGGAAUUAGGGUUCUAUUCCGGAGAGGGAGCCUGAGAAACGGCUACCACAUCCAAGGAAGGCAGCAGGCGCGCAAAUUACCCAAUCCCGACACGGGGAGGUAGUGACAAUAAAUACUGAUACAGGGCUCUUUUGGGUCUUGUAAUUGGAAUGAGUACAAUUUAAAUCCCUUAACGAGGAACAAUUGGAGGGCAAGUCUGGUGCCAGCAGCCGCGGUAAUUCCAGCUCCAAUAGCGUAUAUUAAAGUUGUUGCAGUUAAAAAGCUCGUAGUUGAACCUUGGGUUUGGUUGGUCGGUCCGCCUCACCGCGUGCACUGAUCCGACCGAAUCUUUCCUUCUGGGGAACCGUAUGCCCUUCACUGGGUGUGCUGGGGAACCAGGACUUUUACUUUGAAAAAAUUAGAGUGUUCAAAGCAGGCCUAUGCUCGAAUACAUUAGCAUGGAAUAAUAGAAUAGGACGUGUGGUUCUAUUUUGUUGGUUUCUAGGACCGCCGUAAUGAUUAAUAGGGAUAGUCGGGGGCAUCAGUAUUCAAUUGUCAGAGGUGAAAUUCUUGGAUUUAUUGAAGACUAACUACUGCGAAAGCAUUUGCCAAGGAUGUUUUCAUUAAUCAGUGAACGAAAGUUAGGGGAUCGAAGACGAUCAGAUACCGUCGUAGUCUUAACCAUAAACUAUGCCGACUAGGGAUCGGGCGGUGUUAUCUUUUUGACCCGCUCGGCACCUUACGAGAA
rnacentral:rRNA from 1 species